GUCCCUUCCAACUCUACAGUUCUACAAUUCUAUGAUUUAUUUGUCUAUGUUUCUCAUAGAAUCAUAGAAUCAUAGAAUCAUAGAAUCAUAGAGUUGGAAGAGAC